rnacentral:lncRNA from 1 species
GGAUUUGUCCCGGACUAGCGAGAUGGCAAGGCUGAGGACGGGAGGCUGAUUGAGAGGCGAAGCUGGUAUCUCCAAGAAUGGGCAGACCCGAGAGCAUGCCCUUCUGGCUUACACACUGGGUGUGAAACAACUAAUUGUCGCUUUGCUGUUCGUGAUAUGAGACAGACAGUUGCGGUGGGUGUCAUCAAAGCAGUGGACAAGAAGGCUGCUGGAGCUGGCAAGGUCACCAAGUCUGCCCAGAAAGCUCAGAAGGCUAAAUGAAUAUUAUCCCUAAUACCUGCCACCCCACUCUUAAUCAGUGGUGGAAGAACGGUCUCAGAACUGUUUGUUUCAAUUGGCCAUUUAAGUUUAGUAGUAAAAGACUGGUUAAUGAUAACAAUGCAUCGUAAAACCUUCAGAAGGAAAGGAGAAUGUUUUGUGGACCACUUUGGUUUUCUUUUUUGCGUGUGGCAGUUUUAAGUUAUUAGUUUUUAAAAUCAGUACUUUUUAAUGGAAACAACUUGACCAAAAAUUUGUCACAGAAUUUUGAGACCCAUUAAAAAAGUUAAAUGAGAAACCUGUGUGUUCCUUUGGUCAACACCGAGACAUUUAGGUGAAAGACAUCUAAUUCUGGUUUUACGAAUCUGGAAACUUCUUGAAAAUGUAAUUCUUGAGUUAACACUUCUGGGUGGAGAAUAGGGUUGUUUUCCCCCCACAUAAUUGGAAGGGGAAGGAAUAUCAUUUAAAGCUAUGGGAGGGUUGCUUUGAUUACAACACUGGAGAGAAAUGCAGCAUGUUGCUGAUUGCCUGUCACUAAAACAGGCCAAAAACUGAGUCCUUGUGUUGCAUAGAAAGCUUCAUGUUGCUAAACCAAUGUUAAGUGAAUCUUUGGAAACAAAAUGUUUCCAAAUUACUGGGAUGUGCAUGUUGAAACGUGGGUUAAAAUGACUGGGCAGUGAAAGUUGACUAUUUGCCAUGACAUAAGAAAUAAGUGUAGUGGCUAGUGUACACCCUAUGAGUGGAAGGGUCCAUUUUGAAGUCAGUGGAGUAAGCUUUAUGCCAGUUUGAUGGUUUCACAAGUUCUAUUGAGUGCUAUUCAGAAUAGGAACAAGGUUCUAAUAGAAAAAGAUGGCAAUUUGAAGUAGCUAUAAAAUUAGACUAAUCUACAUUGCUUUUCUCCUGCAGAGUCUAAUACCUUUUAUGCUUUGAUAAUUAGCAGUUUGUCUACUUGGUCACUAGGAAUGAAACUACAUGGUAAUAGGCUUAACAGGUGUAAUAGCCCACUUACUCCUGAAUCUUUAAGCAUUUGUGCAUUUGAAAAAUGCUUUUCGCGAUCUUCCUGCUGGGAUUACAGGCAUGAGCCACUGUGCCUGACCUCCCAUAUGUAAAAGUGUCUAAAGGUUUUUUUUUGGUUAUAAAAGGAAAAUUUUUGCUUAAGUUUGAAGGAUAGGUAAAAUUAAAGGACAUGCUUUCUGUUUGUGUGAUGGUUUUUAAAAAUUUUUUUUAAGAUGGAGUUCUUGUUGCCCAGGCUAGAAUGCAAUGGCAAAAUCUCACUGCAAUCUCCUCCUCCUGGGUUCAAGCAAUUCUCCUACUUCAGCCUCCCAAGUAGCUGGGAUUACAGGCAUGUGCUAAUUUGGUGUUUUUAAUAGAGAUGAGGUUUUUCCAUGUUGGUCAGGCUGGUCUCAAACUCCUGACCUUAGGUGAUCGCCUCGGCCUCCUAAAGUGCUGGAAUUACAGGCAUGAGCCACCAUGCCUGGCCAGGACAUGUGUUCUUAAGGACAUGCUAAGCAGGAGUUAAAGCAGCCCAAGAGAUAAGGCCUCUUAAAGUGACUGGCAAUGUGUAUUGCUCAAGAUUCAAAGGUACUUGAAUUGGCCAUAGACAAGUCUGUAAUGAAGUGUUAUCGUUUUCCCUCAUCUGAGUCUGAAUUAGAUAAAAUGCCUUCCCAUCAGCCAGUGCUCUGAGGUAUCAAGUCUAAAUUGAACUAGAGAUUUUUGUCCUUAGUUUCUUUGCUAUCUAAUGUUUACACAAGUAAAUAGUCUAAGAUUUGCUGGAUGACAGAAAAAACAGGUAAGGCCUUUAAUAGAUGGCCAAUAGAUGCCCUGAUAAUGAAAGUUGACACCUGUAAGAUUUACCAGUAGAGAAUUCUUGACAUGCAAGGAAGCAAGAUUUAACUGAAAAAUUGUUCCCACUGGAAGCAGGAAUGAGUCAGUUUACUUGCAUAUACUGAGAUUGAGAUUAACUUCCUGUGAAACCCAGUGUCUUAGACAACUGUGGCUUGAGCACCACCUGCUGGUAUUCAUUACAAACUUGCUCACUACAAUAAAUGAAUUUUAAGCUUU